UGUUCCUCUGAGUCUGGCCACAGCGUCCCCCUGUCCCUUCUGUCCACAGGCCUUCGAGAUCACGUUGGCGGUGGGUGAAGGGAAGGGCGUCAACAAGCGGAUCACCUACACCAACCCCUACCCCUCCCGCAGGACGUACCACCUGCACAGCGACCACCCGGACCUGCUGCAGUUCAAGGAGGACUCCUUCCAGGUCGGAGGAGGAGAGACCUACACGAUCGGCCUGCAGUUUGCCCCUGGUCCGGGCGUGGGGGAGGAGGAGAUUCUCAUUUACAUCAACGACCACGAAGACAAAAACGAAGAGACGUUUUGUGUGAAGGUCGUCUACCAGUGAGGGCGGGGGGCGCCCGUCCUCCCUGCAGCCCCCGGCCCCUGCCCACGUGCCUGCGCUGCUCUGCGCUCCGUCCUGCCCUCGGCCGCGGGCCUCGGGGACCUGCCGGAUGACCUGUGAACUCGGCUGAGGGCGGAGCCCCCAUCACUUGUAACGCCGUGUCUGGUGGAGCAGCUGACGGCCACCGAGGCCAGUGUGAGCGGGAGCUCUGCGGUGGCUCUGGCGCGGCCCCUGCCAGCGGCCCCUGCCCGCCCGUCUCCAUCCGAAACUCUGUGUUGAUUUGCUUUUAGCAAAGUGUAUUUUACGAAUCAUCCCAGAUGAUAGGAAUUAUGUUUCUCUUACCGGAUUUUGUAUAAACAUAAUAUAUGAUUUGCCAUGCAAUGUUUUAUACUGCUAUUAAUAAUCCUUCACAUCUGUUUUUUAAGUUA